CCUACGGGAGGCUGCAGUGGGGAAUAUUGGGCAAUGGGCGCAAGCCUGACCCAGCAACGCCGCGUGAAGGAAGAAGGCUUUCGGGUUGUAACCUUCUUUUGUCAGGGAAGAGUAGAAGACGGUACCUGACGAAUAAGCCACGGCUAACUACGUGCCAGCAGCCGCGGUAAUACGUAGGUGGCAAGCGUUGUCCGGAUUUACUGGGUGUAAAGGGCGUGUAGCCGGGUUGACAAGUCAGAUGUGAAAUCCUGCGGCUUAACCGCAGAACUGCAUGUGAAACUGUUGAUCUUGAGUACUGGAGAGGCAGACGGAAUUCCUAGUGUAGCGGUGAAAUGCGUAGAUAGUAGGAGGAACACCAGUGGCGAAGGCGGUCUGCUGGACAGCAACUGACGGUGAGGCGCGAAAGCGUGGGGAGCAAACAGGAUUAGAUACCCCAGUAGUC
rnacentral:rRNA from 1 species